rnacentral:rRNA from 1 species
GAUUGUAGUCUGCAACCGACUACAUGAAGCUGGAAUCGCUAGUAAUCGCGGAUCAGAAUGCCGCGGUGAAUACGUUCCCGGGUCUUGUACACACCGCCCGUCACACCAUGGGAGUCGGAAAUGCCCGAAGUCUGUGACCUAACCGUAAGGAAGGAGCAGCCGAAGGCAGGUCGGAUGACUGGGGUGAAGUCGUAACAAGGUAGC